UUGCUGGCUUCUUCACAGACAUCAGCUCCCCUUAAAUGCAUUAGCUGGUGCCCCGCGUGGACCAUCUAUUGGUGUGAUAAUUAUCUACGCCGUGGAUGUCUGCAAUCAUAUGGGUUUUGCACUGCUUCAAACCGUCUGUUCAUUCGGACAAUACAUGACAAUUUGACCUCAAAUCAGGUAGGACUACCCGCUGAACUUAA
rnacentral:misc_RNA from 1 species